rnacentral:rRNA from 1 species
UUGCGUAACCGCUCACUGACCUAGAGUGUAAAUUCCGCAAAUUUUGAGGGCUUAAAGCUAUUACCGAAACUUCAAACAAAAUAGUUCUAGUCUAUUAUUUUGUGGUAGCAGAACAUUCCGUAGGUUGUAAAAGCUAUAGUGUAAACUAUUGUGAAGAUAUCGGAAGUGAGAAUACUUGCAUGAGUAGCACAAAACAACGGUAAGCGUUGUGGCCGUAAGUCUAAGGUUUCCGAUCUAAAGUAAAGUUGGGUCGGCAGAAGUAUGUACUUCUAAAAAAAACGGUCCCUAAGCUGUUAAGCCAAGGCUUUUGGUAAUGGGUAAGACUGUACUGUGACAAGUAACUGACGAAGAAUUCACUUUAUUUUUAUUAAGUCUAAAGGUAAAUUAUUUUUUCCGAGAAAAAGGUUCUUUUUUUAAACCGUACCUUAAACCGCCACAA